GGGUCUGUUUCAAGUAAUCCAGGAUAGGCUUGUUUAAGUGGGCACAGCCUAUUCGGGAUGACUUGGUUCAGGAAC
rnacentral:pre_miRNA from 8 species